GACGAAAGCACAGAAAGCAAAUGCAGAACUUCCCUGCCUCUCCGUCCUUCCCUCAUUUUGAACAGAGACAGCAGCUACCUGUGACUGCCCUGGGGUGAAUGUGCAGCAUCUGGGGUAAAUUUCUUCCCACGCCUGCCCGCAGCAGUCGAGACAGAAGCUGGCACAGGGCUGCCCUUCUUGUGAGCCAGGCAGCAAAAACCAGGCGCUGAGGCUCAGAACUGCUGACUCAAGCCUCCAUGAAGGAACAGAAAUCCAGAAAGCCGGGCCAGAAAUAGCAUCCGUGAGCAUCUAUUGAUAGCAUAAAGUCCGUGGGCAGAGUCCCAGUUCCCACCCUGAGUCCUGCCAAACAGUGCUGCAACAGUCAGCGUUCUGGCCACAGAGAGUGAGGAUGCAGGAUGGCUCGGCCCAUUUCCCCAACUACGUCAGUCUGGACAGAUGUCUCAGGCUGUGUUGGCAGAGGCACUGCUGGUACCACGUGCCAACCUCGGGACAAGCUGCCUCCUCUUGGAAAUGAAGCAGGGACGAUGCACCAGGGAAUCAUGUCAUCAAGUCAGCCGUGUCAACACGCGUUUAUGGAAUGGAAUGGAAUAGAGUAUCACUGCAGCCCACCAAGUAAGGGAAGGCUGAAGCCAGCGGGACAGCCCAGCACCCACUCCGCGGCAGCUCACAUUUCGGAGACUGAGCGGGAACCAGGGGACCCAUCAAUGCCUCCGCGCGUCUCACCGGCCGGUGACGUGGCUCAGCGUAGUUAUGCUCAGUCUGCCCCGGACCCAGUGGGCCUCAGAGGCAAGAGAACAAUGGAAACUUGACCUGCGUAACCAAGGAAUGAUGCCACGAGAGCCCAGUUUGGUCAGCGCAGAGUCUAAUCCCCGGAGACCCUCAGCCCAACAACCCAGCCCCUUUCCCUAGUGAGGCAGAGAGGCUCAUCUGCACCCCGCCUACAAGGCAAAGUGCCGCGCUGGGGAGCGGACUGGCGAACUGGCUCCAGAGCGAAGAUGCAUCAUGUUUUCCAAAGGGCUGACUUCUCUAACUCGGGUGGAGGGAAUGGGGAGGUUUCUGCCCUUCCCCUCCUGCGCAGGAAAAACUCUGGAGUCUUGGAGAAGUGUUGACAGAGGGAAGGGAGCAAUUUGGGGCAGCUGCCCAGGGCGGGUGGGGCCGGGAGUGUGGGGGCACCUCACAGGAAAGCCUGAAGAGCCAACGCCACAGCCGCCACAGUCUGCAGCUCAGGGUAGCAUUUCUCAAGGGGUGUCUCCUGGGCCUCCUGCCCAGCACCGGGGAUCCGGCUUCCUCCUCCCUGCAAGAAGCUCAGCUGCUUCUCCCAUCCCGUUUCUCCCGCGUCUAUCCAGACAGCCCUUGGCCAGGUUUCCAAGUCACCAAUUCCUAGGGGACAGCUGUCCGCAGCAGGGAGUGAGAGGCCAACUCUGAACAGAGAUGAUGCUUGCGUGGGCUCACACCCACACCCACUCAGCUCAUGUCCAACACACCAGGCUCUUUGCCACAAGCUCUCAGAGGUCAGCUGUGGCUGCCUUGGUGAGGUGAGGGCUUUCAGCUUGUAUUCCUGGAAAUUCUUAUUAUCAGACCCCUCGCCUGGCUUCAGCCUCGUACAGCUCUCCAAAGAGCUGACAGCUCUGGAAAAGUCAGGGUGACCUGCUGACCCCACAAAGCCUCAGGAGGGCUACGAUGGAGGGGAAAGGAAGGCCCAUCAGAAGCGUGGUGACUGCAGCAAUGGUCUCCCUCCCAGGCAGGGAUAGGAGGCAGAGACUUGAAGCUCUCUCUCCUUCCCAGAACCUCACUUUUCUCCCUCUCAAAGUCACAUCUGUUCUCCCCAAGGCCUACGGCCUAAUGAUUACCAAUGAGAGUGGGGGGAGGGGAGUGUGAAAACUCCUGGAGAAAAGCCAUUUGCACUGGAAACGUGGGAUUGUGUCAUCGUUUCCACAGCAGCCGCAAGAAGCAGGAAGAGGCAGCAGGAAGUCACCCAGCAUGUUUGCAAGAACAGAGCAUCUGUCAAUUCUGUAAUAAGAUGUGCCCUGGGCUUUCUUUGUCAAUACACCAGGUCUCACUGCCUCGCUGCUCCCCUCCAAACCCAAAGAGAGAAGACAAAGCCACAGAUAUGGCGGGCACUGCAGCUGCCUGCGCAUAACACCCAGAAGGCACGCUGGCUCCAACAGGCGAUGCCUGGCUGGUGGCAGGAACCCAUGGAAGACGUAUUUCCAAAAUCAAGAGUCCAUCCAGGACCUCAAAUUCUGGCCCAGGGCUGGGCAUGGUGGCUCACGCCUGUA
ensembl:lncRNA novel transcript, antisense to TACC2